UGAACUCAACAACAGCAGUAGCCAACACCAAGUCCUUGCAAAGCGCCCAGGUCACCCGCCGGGCUGCUAACCUCGGACGGGGUUCGCCUCAAGUUGAGGGCCAGGGGUUCCACCUUCUCCCCUUUUCCAGACUAUCUGACACCCUAAGCUGGGAGUUUAUAUGGCAAAACAGUCCUGGGGACGUUAGCACCCAGCAUUCUCUGGGCUCUGCCCGCAAGGGUAGCCACUUGAACUGUAGUGAACCCUGCUGAGUCCCUGACUCCCCUGAGCUUACAUCCCUACGGUGAGGCCGGAACGUGGUCCUGGGUGGUGACCUCCGGGGCCCAGGCCCCCCUCUUGAAGCUGCGCGUUCUAAAGCAUCUGGAGCUCAUUCUCAGAACCCGGGCCUGAGGGUAACACAGAGUUUCGGGGUGGCAGAGCCGGGUAGCUGUUCUCAGUCACUCUCCCGCUUCUGGGGAGCCACCCAGUCAGCCUGUGGCAGUGGGGUUCACAGACGCCUGGCUCCGGAGCCAGGAGGAAGCGCGAGGCUGGGUAAGGCCGGAGGCGCCGAGGUGCACAUCGGUCCCCGGGUUCCCGCGGCGGCGCUUCCUCCCCACUUUCCUGGGGCAGCGCAGCUGCGGGAGGCCGGUGCGGGGCUCGCCCCUUCGUCUUUCCCCGCGGGGAGAUGGAGUUUGGAGAGGACUGGGACCCGCGAGGCGGGGGUCACCAAGGUCGAACGAAAUUGGCACAGCUUCCGCAUCUGGGCAGUGUCCGCUUCGUGAGUUGUGGGUCCUGAUGAGCCUGACUCCUACCUACAGUCCCCACAGGAGACCUCCAAGGGACCCGGAGGCCUGGCAGUAGCCUAAAAACAGUGCUUUGGUUUUUGUCAGUCUGUCCGUCCGUCUGUCUGUCUACCUAGUUCAGUUGCGCUUUCCCAUCCCGACAGCUUUCUUCCUACCGACUGUAGCAAGGCUCUAAGCAAUAAGCGAGGUGAAGCGGGCUAGUCGGAAGCUUGUGAAGCGCUAGUCAGAAAUGUGUCUUUGACCCCCCGCAGCCAGCCGAGGCGAAGGCCAAGCUCUAAGGCCUCAAACCCCACUCACUGCUCGAGCCACUGCUCUGACGCUGGCCUCUCGCUUUGGGUUAGGGUCGGGGUCAGGGCGCGCCCCGUGGUGUCCAGCUCUGCAAAGCCAGAACGGCUGCGGAUGCUUCAGUCAACAACGUUGGGGACCUUGGCCAGGCCAAAUAGUCUGGAGUAUGGAGGGAAGCCGGGCCUGGAGCUGGGGAAAGCUCCCUAGGUGGUUCCGAGGUGCGGACCCCGCUGAGAACAGGCGGUGAAAGUCAAAAGACUACGUUUGGAAAGGAAGGCACAACAAUGCCCACUUGGGUGCCAGGAGGCCGAGUGGGUCAGUGCCCAGUGUCUGCAGGUAGGUUGAGGCACAGACAUCCACAUCCCAGGCCUGGGAUGUGGUUCCAGGCAGGCGCGCACCCUCAUGCAUGUACAUGCACACGCGUCAGGGACACACGCCUGCACCCACUGUCUGCGCCCCGCGUGGCUGGCUGCUCCGGUACCCGACAGCAGGCGACCGCGCGCUCCUCCAGCCCGGGGCGCUGCGCAGAGCCCCCGCCCGGCCGCGCGGUGCUUGCUCUGGCUCUUUGUUAUGUUAAUUCCCUUCCCAGCUGGUGCCAGCUGCCUGCACAAUGGGCGCCCUGAGCCCCGCCAGCCCUCGCCAGUCCUCACCAGCCCGUGAGUGGGGGCGGGGCGGACCCUGCGCCCUGUGUAGAUGGGGCGGGCGCGUCCUGAUGAGUGAGCGUUGCGGAGCGAGCAGCACCUCCCCCCACUCCGGCAAGACCGCGCCUCCGGGGCCUGCGGGGCGAGCUGUGAUUCUUUCCAGUCGCCCGGGCUGCCUGCCCUCUAGGUGCCAGGGCUAGAUGGAAAGUAAAAGGCUUCUGGGCGGCUCCGGAGCCAUGAGGAUGAAAGAGGACAGCCGCCUCCAGACCACACAGCUAAUCCCGCCAUAAACCUCGAGCAAAUACCGGGAGAGGAGGAGCAGGCCCACUACAGAUGUGGAGUGCAGCCUCCGGGGAUCCCCAAAUUAAAACCCGGGCAGGAGAGGCACUUGGACCACCACCAAAUGACACUAAUUGGGUUAUGGGACCAUAAUCUUAGCUGCCUUACAGGAAAGCCACUGCCUCUCCUCUGUGCCUGAACUGAGUGGGAAGGUGUCUUGGGGCGACACCUCCAUCUCAGCACUGAGAGGUUUGGGGACAUCUGCAGACUUGGAGAAUGGCGUGAGCAGCUUUCCCAGCUCUGGAAAAGGAAGGCACAGGAAGAAAACCUAGUCCUCUGAUGUUUUUUCCUGUCUCCUGAGAUGUCUUCAGAUUUCCUUCUGGUCACACGGGGAGCCUGUUUCUCAACUUCUUGUAGAGAUGUUUUAAAUGCUGCCCCAGGUAUACUUUAGGACCUGCCGUUCACCCCUGGGUAGCAAAGAGACCAGAGAGAGUCACACAGAACAGCUCACACACUUCACUUUGGUCACCUUGGAGGGCACCUGCAGAUGUUCCCACAACCAUCCAAGCAGGGUUCGAGUGACAACUACCACGUGUCUGAUGCCAGGACUCAGCUGCUCCCGUGGAAUGGCCUGGAUGGAGGCCAGUCUAGCCUGGGCAAGCACAAGCCAAAGCGUGCUUGUGUGGUCCUUCCCACAAAGUGGACACCUGCCUAUGCUCUUCACAACCAACAUCUGUAACAAUUCUUUUCCGUAUGUGUUCUCCCUGGCCCCCAAAGAUAAAAGCAUCUAAUCAGAUUUUUGUUACUUUAAAUCA